rnacentral:rRNA from 1 species
GAUGAACGCUAGCGGCAGGCCUAAUACAUGCAAGUCGAACGGUGUCUUCGGACAUAGUGGCGCACGGGUGCGUAACACGUAUGCAACCUACCUUACAUUGGGGGAUAGCCUUUCGAAAGGGAGAUUAAUACCGCAUAAGACAGUAGCUGGGCAUCCAGCAGCUGUUAAAGAUUUAUCGAUGUAAGCUGGGCAUGCGUCCAAUUAGCUAGUUGGUGAGGUAACAGCUCACCAAGGCAAUGAUUGGUAGGGGAACUGAGAGGUCAAUCCCCCACACUGGCACUGAGAUACGGGCCAGACUCCUACGGGAGGCAGCAGUAGGGAAUAUUGGGCAAUGGACGCAAGUCUGACCCAGCCAUGCCGCGUGCAGGAUGAAGGCGUUAUGCGUUGUAAACUGCUUUUAUACAGGAAGAAACGACUCUUGCGAGAGGCAUUGACGGUACUGUACGAAUAAGCACCGGCUAACUCCGUGCCAGCCGCCGCCGUAAAAC